GAUGAACGCUGGCUGUAUGCCUAAUACAUGCAUGUCGAACGAUGUAGCAAUACAUAGUGGCAAAUGGGUGAGUAACACGUACCUAACCUACCUCAAAGAACGGGAUAACCAAGGGAAACUUUAGCUAAUACCGUAUAUGAAACUGUUUCGCAUGAAGGGGUUUUGAAAGACGCGUCCGCGUCACUUUGUUAGAUGGGGGUGCGUUACAUUAGCUAGUUGGUAGGGUAAAGGCCUACCAGGCGAUGAUGUAUAGCGGGGCUGAGAAGCUGAACCGCCACACUGGGACUGAGAUACGGCCCAGACUCCUACGGGAGGCAGCAGUAGGGAAUUUUUCACAAUGGGCGAAAGCCUGAUGGAGCAAUACAGCGUGUACGAUGAAGGCCUUCGGGUUGUAAAGUACUGUUAUUAGGGAAGAAUAGUCAGUAUAGGAAAUGAUAUUGAUCUGACGGUACCUAAUUAGAAAGCACCGGCAAACUAUGUGCCAGCCGCCGCUGUAA
rnacentral:rRNA from 1 species